ACCGGGAAAAGAACACGACAGAAGAGACCCCCAGAGGAAAGCAGAGUCCUCAGAGGCAAAUGCAGUGUAGCCGCAAAUAAGGACCUGGCUAAUUAUCUGUCAAACCACUGUCACACCAAGAGCAAAGGAAUCCUCCAGAAAUCCGGCUCUGGCGUGCGAACUCCAGAGGAGCGACAGGCAGAAGGCAGCCAAUGAAAGACGAUAAUCUAAGGACCAUCGGGUGUGGUGGUACACAACAGCAAUCCCAGCACGCUAGAGAUGGAGGCAGGAGGAUGGGGAGAGGAAGGCUAGAAUCUGUUCGGAGCCAUGGCCUCUCCCAGCCUUAGCAACAGUGACUGCAACAGACAUGCAUAGAUGGAAUUCUUCUAAAAGCAGCUGCGAUUAAAAAUGCUAACAGCUAAACCUUCUGUCAAAGAGGAGGAUGAAGGGUCUGAGCGAUGCCAAGGGCAGGGUCCAAUGAUCUAAUCACCACCCAAUGAUAGCCACCACUGGCAACAGCAAGAAUUCCCCUAGCUUCCAAAGAGAGGCUCAUUAAAAGGAUGUUCUGAACAGAGGUGAAACAUUCCAUCCUGCAGGGAAGCUAUUAAGCUCAAGAUGUGAACAACUCAAGGGCCUCAGGAAGUCCCCCAAACUGACCAGAUGCAUUAGGUUCCUCUUUCCCCAAGCAUAUACACUGUCAAGGCUGCCAAGGAGCACUCUCAGCAAAGUUCCUAGGAGAGACUCAGACAAGAUGAACCAGCCAAGCCACCUGGAGAAAGCAGACACCAGUCCAGCUGCCUAAGAGAAGCAGAGACCAGCAGAGCUACUGGAAAAGUCCAGAUCACUCCCACUGCCUGAAAAGGACAGGUCUCCAACCUGUUGAGCUGCCUGCCUGCGGCUGGCAGUGGGCUCCAGGUUCCCAGCUUUAUGAGCUGCCACCCAUGCUGGGGUGGGCCUUGGCGAUGCAACCGUC